rnacentral:rRNA from 1 species
GACGUAGGGGGCGAGCGUUGUCCGGAUUCAUUGGGCGUAAAGAGCGCGCAGGCGGCUUGGUAAGUCGGAUGUGAAAUCCCGAGGCUCAACCUCGGGUCUGCAUCCGAUACUGCCCGGCUAGAGGUAGGUAGGGGAGAUCGGAAUUCCUGGUGUAGCGGUGAAAUGCGCAGAUAUCAGGAGGAACACCGGUGGCGAAGGCGGAUCUCUGGGCCUUACCUGACGCUCAGGCGCGAAAGCGUGGGGAGCGAACAGG